rnacentral:lncRNA from 1 species
GUCGAUUUGAUGAGCUCUCCAACAAGCCCGAUGUUCCUGCUGAUGAUUAGUCUACAAAGUAUCUAAUGGGCAAUUCUCCAUGGAGAGAAUGGUCAUUGCUCAUUGAGAGGAUGGUGAAUGGCUUUUGAUUAGAUUUUAGGGAACAGGGAUGCCUCCAAAAUGAUCCCAUUGGCUAGGACUUUGAAGAGGACAAACUCUUGUAAGAACAGGACCUCCACUGUGCCAGCAUCUAAAGGUGCAUUUCCCCUAGUCUUCGGAGAAGAGUUUUUUAUCAUGGAUGUGUACCUUCUGCUUGCAUCUCAAACAUCACUAGAUUCUCUGAGUUUUCUCCCUCUUAGAUGCCACUGGCUUCUCAUUUGA